rnacentral:rRNA from 1 species
UACAGAGGGGGCAAGCGUUGUUCGGAAUUACUGGGCGUAAAGCGCGUGUAGGCGGUCCGGUAAGUCCGCUGUGAAAGUCGGGGGCUCAACCCUCGAAAGCCGGUGGAAACUGUCGGGCUAGAGUGCGGAAGAGGCGAGUGGAAUUCCUGGUGUAGCGGUGAAAUGCGCAGAUAUCAGGAGGAACACCAAUUGCGAAGGCAGCUCGCUGGGACGUUACUGACGCUGAGACGCGAAAGCGUGGGGAGCAAACAGG